GGGCACAUGGUGUAGUUGGUUAUCACGCUCGCUUAGCAUUUCAUGAUAUGCGAGAGGUGUUGGGUUCAAUUCCCAAUGCGUCCA
rnacentral:tRNA from 1 species